rnacentral:rRNA from 1 species
GAUGAACGCUGGCGGCGUGCUUAACACAUGCAAGUCGAACGAAGCACUUUAACCUGAUUCUUCGGAUGAAGGUUUUUGUGACUGAGUGGCGGACGGGUGAGUAACGCGUGGGUAACCUGCCUCAUACAGGGGGAUAACAGUUAGAAAUGACUGCUAAUACCGCAUAAGACCACGGAGCCGCAUGGCUCAGUGGGAAAAACUCCGGUGGUAUGAGAUGGACCCGCGUCUGAUUAGGUAGUUGGUGGGGUAACGGCCUACCAAGCCAACGAUCAGUAGCCGACCUGAGAGGGUGACCGGCCACAUUGGGACUGAGACACGGCCCAAACUCCUACGGGAGGCAGCAGUGGGGAAUAUUGCACAAUGGGGGAAACCCUGAUGCAGCGACGCCGCGUGAGCGAAGAAGUAUUUCGGUAUGUAAAGCUCUAUCAGCAGGGAAGAAAAUGACGGUACCUGACUAAGAAGCACCGGCUAAAUACGUGCCAGCAGCCGCGGUAAUACGUAUGGUGCAAGCGUUAUCCGGAUUUACUGGGUGUAAAGGGAGCGUAGACGGCUGUGUAAGUCUGAAGUGAAAGCCCGGGGCUCAACCCCGGGACUGCUUUGGAAACUAUGCAGCUAGAGUGUCGGAGAGGUAAGUGGAAUUCCCAGUGUAGCGGUGAAAUGCGUAGAUAUUGGGAGGAACACCAGUGGCGAAGGCGGCUUACUGGACGAUGACUGACGUUGAGGCUCGAAAGCGUGGGGAGCAAACAAGAUUCUGAUACCCUGGUAGUCCACCCCGUAAACGAUGAAUACUAGGUGUCGGGGAGCAAAGAUCUUCGUGGCCGCAGCAAAACGCAAAAAGUAGUCCCCCUGGGGAGUUACGUUCGCAAGAAAGAAACUCAAAAGAAAUGUCGGGGGCCCGCACAAGCGGUGGAGCAUGUUGUUUAAUUUGAAGCAACGCGAAGAACCUUACCUGCUCUUGACAUCCCGGUGACCGGCAUGUAAUGAUGCCUCUUCUUUGGAACACCGCCGACAGGUGGUGCAUGGUUGUUGUCAGCUCGUGUCGUGAGAUGUUGGGUUAAGUCCCGCAACGAGCGCAACCCUUAUUUUCAGUAGCCAGCAAUUCGGAUGGGCACUCUGGAGAGACUGCCAGGGAUAACCUGGAGGAAGGUGGGGAGGACGUCAAAUCAUCAUGCCCCCUCUGAGCAGGGCUACACACGUGCUACAAUGGCGUAAACAAAGGGAAGCGAGCCUGCGAGGGUAAGCAAAUCUCAAAAAUAACGUCUCACUUCGGAUUGUAGUCUGCAACUCGACUACAUGAAGCUGGAAUCGCUAGUAAUCGCGAGUCAGCAUGUCGCGG